CCCUUAGAGUUUGAUCCUGGCUCAGGAUGAACGCCGGCGGUGUGCCUAAUACAUGCAAGUCGAACGCGUUGGCCCAACUGAUUGAACGUGCUUGCACGGACUUGACGUUGGUUUACCAGCGAGUGGCGGACGGGUGAGUAACACGUAGGUAACCUGCCCCAAAGCGGGGGAUAACAUUUGGAAACAGAUGCUAAUACCGCAUAACAAUUUGAAUCGCAUGAUUCAAAUUUAAAAGAUGGCUUCGGCUAUCACUUUGGGAUGGACCUGCGGCGCAUUAGCUUGUUGGUAGGGUAACGGCCUACCAAGGCUGUGAUGCGUAGCCGAGUUGAGAGACUGAUCGGCCACAAUGGAACUGAGACACGGUCCAUACUCCUACGGGAGGCAGCAGUAGGGAAUCUUCCACAAUGGGCGCAAGCCUGAUGGAGCAACACCGCGUGAGUGAAGAAGGGUUUCGGCUCGUAAAGCUCUGUUGUUAGAGAAGAACGUGCGUGAGAGCAACUGUUCACGCGGUGACGGUAUCUAACCAGAAAGUCACGGCUAACUACGUGCCAGCAGCCGCGGUAAUACGUAGGUGGCAAGCGUUAUCCGGAUUUAUUGGGCGUAAAGCGAGCGCAGGCGGUUUGAUAAGUCUGAUGUGAAAGCCUUUGGCUUAACCAAAGAAGUGCAUCGGAAACUGUCAGACUUGAGUGCAGAAGAGGACAGUGGAACUCCAUGUGUAGCGGUGGAAUGCGUAGAUAUAUGGAAGAACACCAGUGGCGAAGGCGGCUGUCUGGUCUGCAACUGACGCUGAGGCUCGAAAGCAUGGGUAGCGAACAGGAUUAGAUACCCUGGUAGUCCAUGCCGUAAACGAUGAGUGCUAGGUGUUGGAGGGUUUCCGCCCUUCAGUGCCGCAGCUAACGCAUUAAGCACUCCGCCUGGGGAGUACGACCGCAAAGUUGAA
rnacentral:rRNA from 1 species